AGAGUUUGAUCAUGGCUCAGGACGAACGCUGGCGGCGUGCUUAACACAUGCAAGUCAAGGGGGCCCAGCAAUGGGCAACCGGCGAACGGGUGCGUAACACGUGAGCAACCUACCGAACUGUGGGGGAUAGCCGGCCUAACGGCCGAGUAAUACCGCAUACGCUCUCAGUGAGGCAUUUCAUUGAGAGGAAACCUACGGGACAGAUCGAGGGGCUCGCGGCCUAUCAGCUAGUUGGCGAGGUAACGGCUCACCAAGGCAACGACGGGUAGCUGGUCUGAGAGGAUGGCCAGCCACAUUGGGACUGAGAUACGGCCCAGACUCCUACGGGAGGCAGCAGUGGGGAAUCUUGCGCAAUGGCCUAACGGCUGACGCAGCGACGCCGCGUGUGGGAUGAAGCUCUUCGGAGUGUAAACCACUGUUGCCCGGGACGAACAGCUCGAUUAGUCGAGCCUGACGGUACCGGGUGAGGAAGCACCGGCUAACUCCGUGCCAGCAGCCGCGGUAAUACGGGGGGGUGCGAGCGUUGUCCGGAAUCACUGGGCGUAAAGGGCGCGUAGGUGGUUUGAUAAGGGUGUGGUGAAAGUCCGGGGCUCAACCCCGGAUCUGCCGUGCCGACUGUCAAACUCGAGGGCUGUAGAGGCAGACGGAAUUCCGGGUGUAGCGGUGGAAUGCGUAGAGAUCCGGAGGAAGACCGGUGGCGAAGGCGGUCUGCUGGGCAGUUUCUGACACUGAGGCGCGACAGCGUGGGGAGCAAACAGGAUUAGAUACCCUAGUAGUCC
rnacentral:rRNA from 1 species